rnacentral:rRNA from 1 species
GACAGAGGGCGCAAACGUUGUUCGGAAUUACUGGGCGUAAAGCGUGCGUAGGCGGCCACGUAAGUCGGAUGUGAAAGCCCCGGGCUCAACCCGGGAAGUGCACUCGAUACUGCGUGGCUUGAGUACUGGAGAGGUUGGUGGAAUUCUCGGUGUAGAGGUGAAAUUCGUAGAUAUCGAGAGGAACACCGGUGGCGAAGGCGGCCAACUGGACAGAUACUGACGCUGAGACACGAAAGCGUGGGGAGCAAACAGG